rnacentral:rRNA from 1 species
CGUAGGGUGCGAGCGUUAAUCGGAAUUACUGGGCGUAAAGCGUGCGCAGGCGGUUUGUUAAGAUAGGCGUGAAAUCCCCGGGCUCAACCUGGGAACUGCGCUUAUGACUGGCAAGCUAGAGUACGGCAGAGGGGGGUGGAAUUCCACGUGUAGCAGUGAAAUGCGUAGAGACGUGGAGGAACACCAAUGGCGAAGGCAGCCCCCUGGGUCGAUACUGACGCUCAUGCACGAAAGCGUGGGUAGCAAACAGGAUUAGAUACCCUGGUAGUCCACGCCCUAAACGAUGUCAACUAGGUGUUGGAUGGGUAAAACCAUUUAGUACCGGAGCUAACGCGUGAAGUUGACCGCCUGGGGAGUACGGCCGCAAGGUUA